GUGCUUGCUUCAGUAGCGUGGAUACCAAAACUAGAUUGACACAGAGAUGUUUAAUUAGCACGCCCCCUGAAUAAGGAUGCUAUGCACAUUGGAGAAACAUUCUUUAUUAGA